rnacentral:rRNA from 1 species
UACGUAGGGUGCGAGCGUUAAUCGGAAUUACUGGGCGUAAAGCGUGCGCAGGCGGUCUGUUAAGACCGAUGUGAAAUCCCCGGGCUCAACCUGGGAAUUGCAUUUGUGACUGCACGGCUAGAGUGUGUCAGAGGGGGUAGAAUUCCACGUGUAGCAGUGAAAUGCGUAGAGAUGUGGAGGAAUACCGAUGGCGAAGGCAGCCCCCUGGGAUAACACUGACGCUCAUGCACGAAAGCGUGGGGAGCAAACAGG